AGCUGAAAGAAGUGCGAUGAAACUCUGGAAGAGCAAUUAAAGAAACAGAUUUCAGCUUCCUAAUGGAUGGCAUUUGGCUUAUGAAGUAAAAAAGAUAUCCCGCUGGCAGGGCAAUAUUUUGGUUGACCUCAUUCUCUUGUUUCCUCAAGGCUAUAAGUGAUGUGAUGUAGCAGAAAUGAAUGAUCUGUGGAUGACUAUAUGGCUUGCAAGAGACUGAGUCUGAAAUAUGUAUUGGUCCGUUGAUAUUAAACUUGACAAUAGUCAAUAGAUUGUCACACCAUGAGAGUAUGCAAAGGUCCUCCAUUCUGAUGAAAAAUUUGACAUUGCAAGAGCCAAUGAUAUCUGAAUUUGAGUGUUCUAAUAUUGUACAACAGCAGUACUUGGAGGUGUUCUGGUAGCUGUGAAUCAACUGUGAGGUUUUCCUUAAUUAGAUUGAUGCCUUCAACGAUAAGUUGCAAGAGCUUCUCCAUAAAUGCUAAAUGGCAGCUGAUGGAGUGUAAUUAUUUGGGUUCACGAGAAGCUUUUUGUUUCUCUCUCGAAGAUGCAGUAGAUUUAUUUAGGGGCUUGUCGUUUUAUGAUUUUUCACACUAGAUCACCGUCUCGACCUGCGUCUUCAGUUCCGUCUCUGCCCAUGACAUUGGGAAUGGCUAUGGUUGGGCUUCAAGCAUGGCAGGAUUAGGACCUGCGAGGAAGACGAGUCGCCCCAGCCAUGGCCAUGGUUCCACCGACUCCCCCACAUGCCUCCACUGUUGAUAAGUUAAUUGACAGAUCUAUCUUAAUACUGAAGACUAAAAUUCUUAGAACUGUGCCAUGCCACUUCUCUAAUUAUUGUUCGUGUGUUAUUCAGAAAACCUCUUACGAUGCAAACAAGGACCUGUCAUGUUUGGAUCCUUCAGCACUAUCCCUGAGCAGCGAAUUUCAGUUUCUGUUUUGAAUCUUCUUUUGAUCACGAAGAUUCUUUCUGUACCGGCAAGACCUCAGAUUCACCCAAUGUUGGUAAGAUAAACUAUGUCUCCAGCUUUGCUAACUUUGUUUCUUGAGCAUAUUAAAUGGAAAUUGUGUUUCUUAGAAAAAAAGAAACUCAAACAGAGUUUUACAAAAGUUAAGUAGAGAUUAGGUGUUCGUAUUAUGCGUAAAAGUAUUGUUUUCCUCGGCUAUGUAGUGGAGCUUGCAGAUUACAUGAUUCAUUUUGUAAUUCAAAAUUUUCA